UUUGUAGAAAGUAGUUCAGUGGCUGAGAAUCUGGCAUAAUAUUUUAUUUUUAUGAAAUUUCAGUAAACAUUAUUGAGCAACUUGUAGGUUUCAGGCUCCACGAUAGGGAUGCAAGCAUGUAAGACCUCUGUCCAGCAACUGAGAGGUAAAACUACAACGAGAAAGAUAGGCUGAGCUCCACUGGUUCAACAGCCUCUCCUCCAGUUUCGACCCCAGUCACAGGACACAAGAGAAUGGUCAUCCCGAACCAACCCCCUCUAACAGCAACCAAAAAGUCUACAUUGAAACCACAGCCUGCACCCCAGGCUGGACCCAUCCCUGUGGCUCCAAUCGGAACACUCAAACCCCAGCCUCAGCCAGUCCCAGCCUCCUACACCACAGCCUCCACUUCUUCAAGGCCUACCUUUAAUGUGCAGGUGAAGUCAGCCCAGCCCAGCCCUCAUUAUAUGGCUGCCCCUUCAUCAGGACAAAUUUAUGGCUCAGGGCCCCAGGGCUAUAACACUCAGCCAGUUCCUGUCUCUGGGCAGUGUCCACCUCCUUCAACACGGGGAGGCAUGGAUUAUG
rnacentral:sRNA from 1 species